UAGGAAUCUGCCUGGUAGUGGGGGACAACGUUUCGAAAGGAACGCUAAUACCGCAUACGUCCUACGGGAGAAAGCAGGGGACCUUCGGGCCUUGCGCUAUCAGAUGAGCCUAGGUCGGAUUAGCUAGUUGGUGAGGUAAUGGCUCACCAAGGCGACGAUCCGUAACUGGUCUGAGAGGAUGAUCAGUCACACUGGAACUGAGACACGGUCCAGACUCCUACGGGAGGCAGCAGUGGGGAAUAUUGGACAAUGGGCGAAAGCCUGAUCCAGCCAUGCCGCGUGUGUGAAGAAGGUCUUCGGAUUGUAAAGCACUUUAAGUUGGGAGGAAGGGCAGUAAGUUAAUACCUUGCUGUUUUGACGUUACCGACAGAAUAAGCACCGGCUAACUCUGUGCCAGCAGCCGCGGUAAUACAGAGGGUGCAAGCGUUAAUCGGAAUUACUGGGCGUAAAGCGCGCGUAGGUGGCUCGUUAAGUUGGAUGUGAAAGCCCCGGGCUCAACCUG
rnacentral:rRNA from 1 species